GGGGGCGUUCUGGUUUCGACAGAAUAAUGUUUAGUUAGUAAUUCAGUCCAUUAGUAGGGUAACUACUAUUUAAAUUUAAGUGGAAACACUAAUUAUUCUUACGCUGCCUAAAGGCAAAUAGAUGCUGGUAGCUGGUUAGUUGUUGUUCGCAUAUAACAUAUACUAAUCAUCAUUAUUAUAUGCAAACUUAUUAAGUUGAUUGGCUUAAUAUUUUAUUUAAAUCUUAGAGCAAUAUCAUUUUGUUAGUUUUAUAGUAUUGCUUGAAUUUUAAAAACUGAAUAAACUGUAAACUUACUUUCAAGGGACUUAUUUUGGACAGGAGUUCGAUUCUCCUCGCCUCCACCA
rnacentral:tmRNA from 1 species